UACGAAGGGGGCUAGCGUUGUUCGGAAUUACUGGGCGUAAAGGGCGCGUAGGCGGGAUGGCAAGUCGGUCGUGAAAUCCUUCGGCUCAACCGAAGAACGUCGAUCGAUACUGCUGUUCUUGAGGGUUGCAGAGGAGACUGGAAUUCCCGGUGUAGCGGUGAAAUGUGUAGAGAUCGGGAGGAACACCGGUGGCGAAGGCGGGUCUCUGGGCAACUCCUGACGCUGAGGCGCGAAAGCGUGGGGAGCAAACGGG
rnacentral:rRNA from 1 species